AGAGUUUGAUCGUGGCUCAGGACGAACGCUGGCGGCGUGCUUAACACAUGCAAGUCGAGCGGAAAGGCCACUUCGGUGGUACUCGAGCGGCGAACGGGUGAGUAACACGUGAGUAAUCUGCCCCUGGCUUCGGGAUAGCCACCGGAAACGGUGAUUAAUACCGGAUACGACAACUUCUCGCAUGGGAUGGUUGUGGAAAGUUUUUCGGCCAGGGAUGUGCUCGCGGCCUAUCAGCUUGAUGGUGAGGUAAUGGCUCACCAUGGCUUCGACGGGUAGCCGGCCUGAGAGGGUGACCGGUCACACUGGGACUGAGACACGGCCCAGACUCCUACGGGAGGCAGCAGUGGGGAAUAUUGGACAAUGGGCGGAAGCCUGAUCCAGCAACGCCGCGUGAGGGAUGGCGGCCUUCGGGUUGUAAACCUCUUUCAGUACCGACGAAGCGCAAGUGACGGUAGGUACAGAAGAAGCACCGGCCAACUACGUGCCAGCAGCCGCGGUAAUACGUAGGGUGCGAGCGUUGUCCGGAAUUAUUGGGCGUAAAGGGCUCGUAGGCGGUUUGUCGCGUCGGGAGUGAAAACGCCGCGCUUAACACGGCGCUUGCUUUCGAUACGGGCAGACUAGAGGUAUUCAGGGGAGAACGGAAUUCCUGGUGUAGCGGUGAAAUGCGCAGAUAUCAGGAGGAACACCGGUGGCGAAGGCGGUUCUCUGGGAAUGACCUGACGCUGAGGAGCGAAAGUGUGGGGAGCGAACAGGAUUAGAUACCCUGGUAGUCCACACCGUAAACGUUGGGCGCUAGGUGUGGGGUCCAUUCCACGGAUUCCGUGCCGCAGCUAACGCAUUAAACGCCCCGCCUGGGGAGUACGGCCGCAAGGCUAAAACUCAAAGGAAUUGACGG
rnacentral:rRNA from 1 species